AUCUCAACAUGAACACGAAGAUCUUCAUCCUCUUGGGUCUGGCAGCUGUUGCUGUUGCAGACAGCUUCGAAUCCUACGAAUACCGACCACCACAAAGACGCUAUUCCUCUGAGGAAUCCUACGAAUCCGGAGAGGCCAAAUACGACUUCAACUGGGCUGUCAGGCAC
rnacentral:misc_RNA from 1 species